GACGAACGCUGGCGGCGUGCUUAACACAUACAAGUCGAACAGAAAGGCCCUGCUUUUGUGGGGUGCUCGAGUGGCGAACGGGUGAGUAACACGUGAGUAACCUGCCCUUGACUUUGGGAUAACUUCAGGAAACUGGGGCUAAUACCGGAUAGGAGCUCCUGCUGCAUGGUGGGGGUUGGAAAGUUUCGGCGGUUGGGGAUGGACUCGCGGCUUAUCAGCUUGUGGGGGGGGUAGUGGCUUACCAAGGCUUUGACGGGUAGCCGGCCUGGGAGGGUGACCGGCCACAUUGGGCCUGCGAUACGGCCCAGACUCCUACGGGAGGCAGCAGUGGGGAAUAUUGCACAAUGGGCGGAAGCCUGAUGCAGCAACGCCGCGUGCGUGAUGACGGCCUUCGGGUUGUAAACCGCUUUCGCCUGUGACGAAGCGUGAGUGACGGUAAUGGGUAAAGAAGCACCGGCUAACUACGUG
rnacentral:rRNA from 1 species